AGAGUUUGAUCCUGGCUCAGGAUNAACGCUGGCGGCGUGCCUAAUACAUGCAAGUCGAACGAGUUCUGAUUAUUGAAAGGUGCUUGCAUCUUGAUUUAAUUUUGAACGAGUGGCGGACGGGUGAGUAACACGUGGGUAACCUGCNCUUAAGUGGGGGAUAACAUUUGGAAACAGAUGCUAAUACCGCAUAAAUCCAAGAACCGCAUGGUUCUUGGCUGAAAGAUGGCGUAAGCUAUCGCUUUUGGAUGGACCCGCGGCGUAUUAGCUAGUUGGUGAGGUAACGGCUCACCAAGGCAAUGAUACGUAGCCGAACUGAGAGGUUGAUCGGCCACAUUGGGACUGAGACACGGCCNNNACUCCUACGGGAGGCAGCA
rnacentral:rRNA from 1 species